rnacentral:rRNA from 1 species
GACGAACGCUGGCGGCGUGCUUAACACAUGCAAGUCGAACGGUGAAGCGCCUUCCUUUUUGGUGGGUGUGGAUGAGUGGCGAACGGGUGAGUAACACGUGAGUAACCUGCCCCCUUCUUCUGGAUAACCGCAUGAAAGUGUGGCUAAUACGGGAUAUUCUGGGUCUGUCGCAUGAUGGGUCUGGGAAAGAUAUUGUUUCGGUGGGGGAUGGCCUCGCGGCCUAUCAGGUUGUGGGGGGGGUGGUGGCCUAACAAGGCGGUGACGGGUAGCCGGCCUGGGAGGGUGGACGGUCUGGCUGGGGCGGAGGCACGGCCAAGACUGCUAUGGGAGGCAGCAGUGAGGACUAUUGGACGAUGGGGGGGAGACUGAUGCAGCGACGCCGCGUGAGGGAUGGAGGCCUGCGGGUUGUGAACCUCUUUCGCCAGUGAAGCAGGGCUGUCUCGUUUGUGGGUGGGUUGACGGUAGCUGGAGAAGAAGCGCCGGCUAACUACGUG